rnacentral:tRNA from 2 species
CGGGGUAUAGCGCAGUCUGGUAGCGCGUGCGUCUGGGGGACGUGAGGUCACAAGUUCGAAUCUUGUUAUCCCGACCA